rnacentral:sRNA from 1 species
GUCGUAGCAAAUUCUGCGACCAGGUUUGACAGCCUGAAUACUUACGCGGACAACCGCACAUUUCCGAUAUUGCGGUAUUUUU